rnacentral:rRNA from 1 species
UACGUAGGGUGCAAGCGUUUGUCCGGAAUUAUUGGGCGUAAAGCGCACGUAGGCGGGUUGUUAAGUCAGGGGUGAAAUCCUGGAGCUCAACUCCAGAACUGCCUUUGAUACUGGCAACCUAGAGACUGGAAGAGGUGAGUGGAAUUCCUAGUGUAGAGGUGAAAUUCGUAGAUAUUAGGAAGAACACCAGUGGCGAAGGCGGCUCACUGGUCCGGUACUGACGCUGAGGUGCGAAAGCGUGGGGAGCAAACAGGG